UACGUAGGGGGCAAGCGUUGUCCGGAAUUAUUGGGCGUAAAGAGCGUGUAGGCGGUCCGGUAAGUCAGCUGUGAAAGUCAAGGGCUCAACCCUUGAAUGCCGGUUGAUACUGUCGGGCUAGAGUCCGGAAGAGGCGAGUGGAAUUCCCGGUGUAGCGGUGAAAUGCGCAGAUAUCGGGAGGAACACCAAUGGCGAAGGCAGCUCGCCUGGGACGGUACUGACGCUGAGGCGCGAAAGCGUGGGGAGCAAACAGG
rnacentral:rRNA from 1 species